GACCCUUAGGAGAAAACGUAGCUCCUCAAAUGAUGCUAUAUAACCAAGAGGACAUCACAGACUGGACAGUGGCAAUCUUCUGACCCUCUAGCCUUCCAAAGAAUGCCUACUGUUAACCAGAUGUCUCUGGAAGUUCUGAGAUUCAUGCUUAAAGGGACCCUAGACCAAGGCCCCUGGUUGGGCAAAAGGUAUGGUGGGUAGAUCACGCUUGCUGGUUGCCACAGAAUUUCUUGUGCAAGAUAAUGAAAGAUAAGGCUGCCAAAAUGGUACUGACAAUCUGAUAUUGGGCAACUUUUACCUAAAUCUGACAGAGAAAGAGUUCAGAGCUUAGAGCUACUUAUAGUUCACUGCUGGUCCUUGGACUUGAGCUGCAUGUUUGGUUCCAUGGAAUGGGGACUUCUAGCACAUCUGUAUUUCCAUAGCAGUGUCAACUCCAGCCUACAACACUCGAGAGAACCACAUUCCUUCUCCACCUGCUGGUAGUUAGGCUCUAUGAAGAACUGUCACAUGCACUGGUUGGACUAUAAACAAGAAUGUAAUAUACCUUUUCUCCACUCAUUCUAUUCCAUUCCCUACCUUCCUCCAUUUGUCAGGUGGUCCUAAGGAUGAGUAAGCUUAUUUUCUGGGAAUUUUCCAGAUUCUUGCUUCUCAUUUUGAAAUGCUAAUGGGACCUUUAGAUUAGUCAGUGUCUUCUCUUGCCUCUAAUGGAUGUAGUGAUUUUAUACUCUCCCUGGUUGGUCUUAAGCUCUGCAAAAGAAGGGAUGACAGUCUUUGAAUGAGACUACUCUUCUUGCUCAAACUGCAGGCUCCUCUAUUGCCCUCACGUCUUGUAGUAGUGCAUAGAUGGGAGAACAAUAGUUGAACUAAAAUAGAUCACAUUCUAGGAAGGUGGUGAUUAAUGCCUGAGAGUUCAAUAAAUGGUUGGAGGUGUUGUUCAAUCUUUAUGCUGUAAAAUUCCUAGCCAUAAGUUUGACAUGAGCAGAAACAAAUUAUCAUUCACAUUUUCCUUCAUAUUCUGGAUAAGACUUAUAUUUGUGGUCAUCACCAACACCUCACGGUAACAAUCAAGAGAAUCAUUAAAACCUUCCUUCACAGGCAGCACGAUGGUGCAGCAUCAGUAGUAAUGACAAAAUCAGCAAUAAAGAAAAUGGCUAAAACUGCAAAGGCAAACUAUAUAUUGUUUCAAUAAAAACAGGUUCUGAGGAACCAUGACCUUAUGAGUAAUAAAAGCAUUCCUGACUUUUUCAAAUAGUGGCAAGACCUGAAAUUUGUGAGGAUCAGGCAUUUGUUUCCAGGCUCUAUGAAGAAUCUUAACAUGCACGGACUGAACAACAAACUAAUAUGUAAUAUACCUCUUCCAUACUCAUUCUAAAUCUUCCCUGACACAUAGCAAUUCCUCACAUGGACCCCAAAAUUUUGUGUAGCAUUUUCAAAUUAAAUUAUGUGUGCAAACAGGCAUUCUGUAAAAAAAAAAUUUGUUGUGAUGGUGCACACCCAAAGAUUAAUUCUGCUAGAAUGCUAUUUCUGCUCUUAACAUAUUUUCUCUUAAAAUUAGAUACCAAGAUUUACCAUAUAGGAAACAAGUAUUUCCAAAAACAAAAAUCAAAUUAUGCAUUAUUACCUAUAAAAUUCUAUCCUCUUCUAUUCUACUACUAACAGGCAUACAUUUUUGGCUAAAUGAAUCUCAGAUAAACACCUCCACUUCAAAACCAAUUCCAACACCUUUAAUCCAUAAAAGGCAUUUUCUAGUUCCUCAUAUUCACGAUCUCAGUAUGAAAUACGCUGGUACUCAUUUCCUGCUCUCUUUUUCUCCCAAUUAAUAAUCUAAAAAAUGCAAUGAAGAUUUUUUUUUUACUGUUUUGAAGCUAGGAGAAGGGAAUAAUGUUCUCUCUAAUUUUCCUGACUUCUCUUUCAAAAUAUGCAUCUAUACGUAAUAAUUAUAUAUGUAUGUAUAUAUCACAUACACACACUAUAUACAUAUAUAAUUUAUAAUUUGCAGCUAGCUCUGCUUCACCUUGGUGAAUUCUUUCUUUUUAGUGUACCUUUUUUAUUUCUCUGGAAAGAUGGAGAUACAAUGAAGGACUAGCAAAGGAGAAUGGCUCAAGGGUGUAUGUUCUUUUCUAGACUCUACCACAGCUGUUUUAUUGUUUUGUCACUCUUUGUUUCUCAGUUACCUUAAUGUAAACUAAGGGUUUUGUAACUCAGUGAUGUUUUGCUAGGUGUGUUGUAAAGAAUUUUUAACCUUGCUUAAAGAGAGAUCUGGUCUUUGCUGUCUACUUCUGAGAGAUAAUUUCUAAAUUCUUAAGAUGUCACGCCUUAUAAAAUGUCUCUGUGUGCCUGAGCAUCUGGGGUCACACCAGAUACUCAAUCAGUGUCAUCUAGGGUGGGGACUUCAGGUCAUGAAGUAUCAAUUCAAAUUCCUGGACACUGAAGUGGGCUGACUAGGGUGAUAGCUCAUGUGUAUUGCCACACAUUGCUGGGAAAAGUAGCAUUGUCUGUGACUGCCCUGGGAAACGACAACUGGAAGCUCUACUCUUGAAACUUCCUGGAGCUCUGCCUUACGUGUCUCUUCUAUUUGCUGAUUUUAAGUAUAUAUAUAUUUUUUACUAUAAUAAAUCAUAUUCAUGAGUAUAAUAACUUUUAUUUAAUUCAUUUAGCCCUUCUAGUGAAUUAUCAAAACUGAGGGUGGUCUUGGAGAACUCUGGACUUGCAAUUUGGGAUCAGGCGAAGCUGGUUUUAGAGUCUGCCCCCUAAUUUUGCACCAGGAAUGAGAAAUGCAUCUUCUUCUACUCAUCCUUCAGAGCACAGUUUAAACUUCACUUUUUCAGAAAAUUAUUUUCUGAUUCCAACGGCAUUUUUUUUUCAUUUAAUAGUAUAUUGGUUCUUAUGCACUGACUGAACAGUAAACAAACAUGUCAUUCUUAUGUUGAAGUCCUAAUUCUCAGUGUGAUUGCAGUUGGAGACAGGAUGUUUAAAGAGGUAAUUAAAGUUAAGUGAGCUCAUAAGUGUGGGGUUCUAAUCCAAUAGGAUCGUGUCCUUAUAAGAAGAGAAAGAGACACUGGGGAUGCACACUUCAGAUGUCCAUGUGUGGGCAAAGCAAGAAGAAAAGCCUUGCAGGCCAAGGAGAAAGGUUUCAGGAGAAGUUAAGCCUGCAAACAUAUUGAUCUCAAACUUUCAGACUCCAGAACUGUGACAAAUGAACUUCUGUUUUUUAAGCCAUCCUAUCUGUGGUAUUUUGUUAUGGCAGCUCUUACAGACUAAUACUGUUCUUCACAUCGUAUUUUCUCAUCAUGCUAGCAAAUUCACUUAAAUGUUAUUUAGUACAAUUGAAAUUCAAUAAUAAAUCGCAUGAUUCUAUCACUUCUCGGCCUUUUGGGUAAGAUCAAGUGUAAUUAAUUGCAUGAUUCCUAAUUUAAUGUGUUUUCAUUCCCUUCUCAUUCACACUCGCUUGAGUAUCUUCUUAAUGAUAUCAGUGAUCUCGCUUGCUGCUCAGUCGCCAAAAUUUUGUAUAGUGAAGCAGAGUAGAUACUUAAUAGUGGUUGAAUGAGUGAAUGAAUAAAAAAUGAAUUCAUAAAAGAUUGAAUAGCUAAUAAAAUUUCUGUAGGUGAAUAUUUACUGUAUAACUAACAUUUGAGAGACUUCUCCAGUUACCUAUACCCUAUUAUCAAUAUAACUUUAUUCAUGCUCUGAGCCUGAAGAUUCAUUGAUCAGUGACCGACUUCUAGAUCUGACAAUGAACAAGUCUCAUCUCAGCCUAAAUCAUGACUGUAACCACAAAUGAACUUGGUUGGAGCAAAUCACAAAAACAUACUGUUCUCAGCAUAAAUUCACUGUCACUAAUUUCAGGGAAGCGGGAGCAUGGGAGCAUGAUUCUUAGUGCUGCCUGGCAAUCCUAUCACAUUUCCUGGUUCCUUCAAUUUUUCACUCUGUUAGUGAAUUAUUUCAUGUCCUUUCCUCAAUUCUGACAUCAACACAGCCUUUUCCCAUUUUUUAAAAUCUUAGUUGAUGAACUUUAUACUUCACUAAAAAAAUUGGGGCAGUAAGUAGGGAACUUUAUCAAUUUUCAUGACAAUUGCUAUUCCCCUAUUUCACAGGCAGGAAUUACCUCAGUUCUCUCCUAUACUACUCUGAGUGAAUUCUCUAUGCUACUGUGAUCCUAGCUAAUGAUGACACCUCUGCUUUUGCUUUAGAUGCAUCCUUCUUAUCUACUCAAUGAUGUCACUCUAGCAACUCUCAUUUUCUCUUUCAUCAUCAAUUUUCUUUGCCAAUAAUUUUUUUCAUCACUUAAAGUGUUUUAAAAUUUUCAAGGAUAAAUAUUGAAACCACAAUCUGUCUUGACCUCAUCUGACCUUUAAUUACUGAACCAUUUGCUUUGUUCCAUUUACUGACAAACUCUUUAAAAUAAUGUUCUACAUUUUCUCACCAAUUGCCAUCUUCUAAUUCUCUCUUGAACUAGGUUUUUGCUUCUUCUCCACUUUUGAAAUUGCUUUAAUCAUGAUCUCCAAAGAUUUUCACAUGCUAAAUUCAUUGACCAUUUAUUUGACUUUAUAUUCCUUGGCUUAUAGCAAUAGUCGACACAUGCUCUUAAGUCGGUUUAUACCACACUUACCUGGUUGUCUCCUAAUAUAUUGGCCAUUUCUCGUUAGUCUCUUAUACUGGUUCUUCAUCUCAGUUGUCUUUAAAUUUUGGAAUACCCCAAGGCUUAAUCCUAGAAGCAUUACCAAUACUCAUUCCAAAGAAGAUCUUAUUAUCUCAUUCUAUCUGAUGAUUUUAAAUGUCAUUUAAAAGUUGCUGAUUCUAUUUUUAAAAAUCUCUAGCCUGACCUUUCUCUUGAACUUUAUACAAAUAUCCAACUUACUGUUUGACCUUUCCAAUUAAAUAUUUGACCUCAUAUGGCCAAAUUGAGCUCUUGACAGAUAGGCACAUCCUUGCCAAACUUUUACCUCUCACAGUUUUCAAUUCCAUUUCAUAGCAACUCUAUUUUAUAACUACUCAAACAAAAAUUUUAGCAUCAUUCACGGCCUGCAAGGAUGUAAGUCACAUCCUCAUUGUUUGUCCCCAGCAAUUCUUUUGGCUCUACCUUCAAAAUGUAUCAGGAAUGUGGUUACUUCUCACACACCCACUCUUGCCAUUAUGAAGAGGAAAGUCUUCUAGGAGUGUCAGAAUAAUAGAAAUUAAGAGGAGAAAAGGUAUUUUAAUGAGUAUUAUUACAAAUUACAUAUAAGAACCACUUUAAAUAGUUUAGAAAUAUGUGAAUUAAGAUUGAAAUUCCCAUUUGUAGGACUGAAUAAUAUAGACUACAGCUUUAUUUGUAUUUCUAUAUUGUAUUCAUUGUUAUUUACGAAUGGGAAAACUGAGCGCUAGUUUAAUAAUUUGUCUAAGAUUACAUGAGUCAACAAUAGGUACUCUAGAAUUAAAAUUAGAGAUGGCUUCUUCCAGGAUUUUCAGAGUUUGCCAGAUCAGCUCUCAAAUUAAAUUAAAAACCAUAACAACUUGAAUGAAAUCAUGCCUGCUUAAGAAAAUAGGAAAUAAGUAGGAAUGUCUAGGAUGUUUUAUUAUUUUCCAACGUUUAUUGAUUAACACCUACUAUAUUACAAGUCUGACCUAGGUUUGAGAUGAGACAACUAUAUUGUUGCCACAAUCUUCCUAGAAUUCCAUUCCUCAAAGUUUUAUUGUAGAUUUUGAAUUAUUUGCCUUACUUCUCAUUACAUUCAAUUUUUCAAACUCAUUUCUUAUCCCUGGAGUGCUUUACACAUUUGUAUCUUCUCUUCUCAAAUCUUGGAAUCUGAUCCUUAUAUCUGGCUCAUGAUCAACCCUGACACAGAUGUUAGCUAUCUUCUUGUCUCUAACUUGUGCAUUCUGCUAACUUAAAGUUUUUUGAAAGGCAGCAGUCUCCUGUUUUCAGCAAAAGGUA
rnacentral:lncRNA from 1 species